AAAUGGCUCACCAAGGCGACGAUCCCUAGCUGGUCUGAGAGGAUGAUCAGCCACACUGGAACUGAGACACGGUCCAGACUCCUACGGGAGGCAGCAGUGGGGAAUAUUGCACAAUGGGCGCAAGCCUGAUGCAGCCAUGCCGCGUGUGUGAAGAAGGCCUUCGGGUUGUAAAGCACUUUCAGUCGUGAGGAAGGUNGUAGAGUUAAUAGCACCAUCAUUUGACGUUAGCGACAGAAGAAGCACCGGCUAACUCCGUGCCAGCAGCCGCGGUAAUACGGAGGGUGCGAGCGUUAAUCGGAAUUACUGGGCGUAAAGCGCAUGCAGNUGGUUUGUUAAGUCAGAUGUGAAAGCCCGGGGCUCAACCUCGGAAUAGCAUUU
rnacentral:rRNA from 1 species